UGAGGAAUUUUGCGCAAUGGGGGAAACCCUGACGCAGCGACGCCGCGUGGAGGAUGAAGGCCUUCGGGUCGUAAACUCCUGUCAGAGGUGAAGAAUGCCCGCAAGGGUUUGACGGUAACCUCAGAGGAAGCCCCGGCUAACUACGUGCCAGCAGCCGCGGUAAUACGUAGGGGGCAAACGUUACUCGGAAUUACUGGGCGUAAAGGGUGCGUAGGCGGCUGGGAAAGUCAAGGAUGAAAUCCCGUGGCUCAACUGCGGAACGGUCCUUGAAACUACUCGGCUUGAGGAUAACCGAAGAGAACGGAAUUCCCGGUGGAGCGGUGAAAUGCGUAGAUAUCGGGAGGAACACCUGAGGCGAAAGCGGUUCUCUAGACUACUCCUGACGCUGAGGCACGAAAGC
rnacentral:rRNA from 1 species